AUUUACCCUCAUUAUAUUGGAUUUUAGAGGUAAAUAAAAAAUCUAUUAGAGAGGAACAAACUAAAUCCCAGAUACUCAAAGAGUUAACGAGAUGGUGGGAUAAGUUUACAAACAACAAAGGACUUAGAAAUAAAAUAAUAGAGUCAUUACCAUUCUCAAGUAUUUCAGAUAUGUUAGAAAAUAUAAAAGCAGACAUUUGGACAUCUGGG